UGUGACUGGCACAGCACUUUAGGAGGCCAAGGUGGGUUGAUAGCUUGAGGAGGCCAGGAGUUUGAGCAACAUGGUAAAACCUCUUCUCUACAAAAAAUACAAAAAAUUAGCCAGGUACAGGGUCGCAUGCCUAUGGUCUCAGUGACUCCAGUGGCUGAGGUGGGAGGACUGUUUGAGCCUGGGAGGUUGAAGUUGCAGUGAACUGUGAUCAUGCCACAGCACUCCAGCCUGAGCAACAGAGCAAGACCCUACCUCAAAACAACAGCAACAACAUAGGUUGCGCAGUCCUUUGGACAUCUGGAAAGGAGGCUCGAUGCUGAUGUGGAGAAAGGACACAGCAGUGCUACCCUGGAGGCAGGAGGCCAACUGGGAACCAGAGAGGAGCCUGGGCUAGAGAAGCCAAAUAAUCUGGCGUGUACCUGGGAGGCGGAGCUUGCAGUGAGCCGAGAUCGCGCCACUUCACUCCAGGCUGGGCAACAGAGCGAGACUCCGUCUCAGAAAAAAAAAAAAAAAAAAAA